GAUGAACGCUGGCGGUAUGCUUAACACAUGCAAGUCGAACGGACUCUUCGGGGUUAGUGGCGGACGGGUGAGUAACGCGUGAGAAUCUGGCUUUGGGUUCGGGACAACCACUGGAAACGGUGGCUAAUACCGGAUGUGCCGAGAGGUAAAAGAGAAAUUGCCUGAAGAUGAGCUCGCGUCUGAUUAGCUAGUUGGUGAGGUAAAGGCUCACCAAGGCAGCGAUCAGUAGCUGGUCUGAGAGGAUGACCAGCCACACUGGGACUGAGACACGGCCCAGACUCCUACGGGAGGCAGCAGUGGGGAAUUUUCCGAAAUGGGCGAAAGCCUGACGGAGCAAUACCGCGUGAGGGAAGAAGGCUCUUGGGUUGUAAACCUCUUUUCUUAGGGAAGAACAAAAUGACGGUACCUAAGGAAUCAGCAUCGGCUAACUCCGUG
rnacentral:rRNA from 1 species